rnacentral:rRNA from 1 species
CGGAACACGUACGCAACCUUCCCGAAACAGGUGAAUAGCCCUCCGAAAGAGGAUUAAUACACCGUAAGAUAUAGAUGUGGCAUCAUGUUUAUAUUAAAGGCCGCAAGGUCGGUUUUGGAUGGGCGUGCGCCUGAUUAGGUAGUUGGUGUGGGUAACGGCCCACCAAGCCUUCGAUCAGUAACUGGUGUGAGAGCACGACCAGUCACACGGGCACUGAGACACGGGCCCG